rnacentral:rRNA from 1 species
AUUGAACGCUGGCGGCACGCUUAACACAUGCAAGUCGAGCGGCAGCAUGGUGUGUAGCAAUACACAUUGAUGGCGAGCGGCGGACGGGUGAGUAACGCGUAGGGACCUGUCCUUAAGAGAGGGAUAACCAGAGGAAACUUUGGCUAAUACCGCAUAGAAACUCGGAAGAGGAAAGCUGCCCGCGAGGGUGGCGCUUGAGGAGGGUCCUGCGUCCGAUUAGCUAGUUGGUGAGGUAACUGCUCACCAAGGCGAUGAUCGGUAACUGGUCUGAGAGGACGACCAGUCACACUGGGACUGAGACACGGCCCAGACUCCUACGGGUGGCAG